rnacentral:lncRNA from 1 species
UGACCAUCGUCCCAUCAAAAAGGAAUUUAUUAACCAUAAGAGUUAAAUCUUCCUUUACAAUAUCUCAGAAUUUCUGGUAGAAGAGAGUUGUCAUCCCAUCUGAACAUGGAGCCUUUUUUGGAUGCAUCGCAAAGAGUGCUAAUUUGACCUCCCAUUUUGUUACCGGGGCAGUAAGAUUGUCGUUCAUCGGCCCAGUAAUAGUCGAGGAUACCUCAGUUAGCGCCUCCUCUAUAUCUUCUGGAUUGGAGGACUCAAAGAUUUAUCUAAACUAGCUAGUAGCAAUGGCCACCAACCCUUCCUCAUCCUCAACCACAUUUCCAUUUGC